rnacentral:rRNA from 1 species
AAACUUGAGCUAAUACCGGAUGAUGACGUAAGUCCAGAGAUUUAUCGCCGAAGGAUGAGCCCGCGUAGGAUUAGGUAGUUGGUGGGGUAAUGGCCUACCAAGCCGACGAUCCUUAGCUGGUCUGAGAGGAUGAUCAGCCACACUGGGACUGAGACACGGCCCAGACUCCUACGGGAGGCAGCAGUGGGGAAUAUUGGACAAUGGGCGAAAGCCUGAUCCAGCAAUGCCGCGUGAGUGAUGAAGGCCUUAGGGUUGUAAAGCUCUUUUACCAGGGAUGAUAAUGACAGUACCUGGAGAAUAAGCUCCGGCUAACUCC